AGAGUACAAAGCUUUGCAAAAGCAACUAACUGUUAAUUAGAAGAUUGCGAACUUAUCGCUUACUCUA
rnacentral:tRNA from 1 species